rnacentral:rRNA from 1 species
CGCCAGACUCCUACGGGAGGCAGCAGUGAGGAAUAUUGGUCAAUGGGCGCGAGCCUGAACCAGCCAAGUCGCGUGAGGGAAGACGGUCCUAUGGAUUGUAAACCUCUUUUGUCGGGGAGCAAAAGCCGGACGUGUCCGUCUGUGAGAGUACCCGAAGAAAAAGCAUCGGCUAACUCCGUGCCAGCAGCCGCGGUAAUACGGAGGAUGCGAGCGUUAUCCGGAUUUAUUGGGUUUAAAGGGUGCGCAGGCGGAUUUUUAAGUCAGGGGUCAAAUUGCGGGGCUCAACCCCGUACUGCCGUUGAAACUGCAUCCCUUGAGUGCGCGAGAAGUAUGCGGAAUGCGUGGUGUAGCGGUGAAAUGCAUAGAUAUCACGCAGAACUCCGAUUGCGAAGGCAGCAUACCGGCGCGCAACUGACGCUCAUGCACGAAAGCGUGGGUAUCGAACAGGAUUAGAUACCCCAGUA